rnacentral:rRNA from 1 species
UACGUAGGGUGCAAGCGUUGUCCGGAAUUACUGGGCGUAAAGAGUUCGUAGGCGGCUUGUCACGUCGGGUGUGAAAGACCGGGGCUUAACUCCGGUUCUGCAUUCGAUACGGGCUAGCUAGAGUGUGGUAGGGGAGAUCGGAAUUCCUGGUGUAGCGGUGAAAUGCGCAGAUAUCAGGAGGAACACCGGUGGCGAAGGCGGAUCUCUGGGCCGAUACUGACGCUGAGGAGCGAAAGCGUGGGGAGCGAACAGG